CUACGAUAGUAGAGGGGCAUUAUGUUUGCUGGUCUGUGCCUCCGUUCGUGCGUCCGUUCGUCCGUUCGUCCGUGCGUCCGUUUAGGUUAAAGUUUUUGGUCAAGGUGGUUUUUGAUGACGUUGAAGUUACAUCAACUUGAAACUUAGCACACAUGUUCCCUAUGAUAUGAUCUUUCUAAUUUUAAUUUCAAAUUAAAGUUUUGAC
rnacentral:lncRNA from 1 species